rnacentral:rRNA from 1 species
GACGAACGCUGGCGGCGUGCUUAACACAUGCAAGUCGAACGGAAAGGCCCUGCUUUUGUGGGGUGCUCGAGUGGCGAACGGGUGAGUAACACGUGAGUAACCUGCCCUUGACUUUGGGAUAACUUCAGGAAACUGGGGCUAAUACCGGAUAGGAGCUCCUGCUGCAUGGUGGGGGUUGGAAAGUUUCGGCGGUUGGGGAUGGACUCGCGGCUUAUCAGCUUGUUGGUGGGUAGUGGCUUACCAAGGCUUUGACGGGUAGCCGGCCUGAGAGGGUGACCGGCCACAUUGGGACUGAGAUACGGCCCAGACUCCUACGGGAGGCAGCAGUGGGGAAUAUUGCACAAUGGGCGGAAGCCUGAUGCAGCAACGCCGCGUGCGGGAUGACGGCCUUCGGGUUGUAAACCGCUUUCGCGUGUGACGAAGCGUGAGUGACGGUAAUGGGUAAAGAAGCACCGGCUAACUACGUG